GUCUCGGGAUCUGAUCGUAGCCACGCACGCGCUUGACCUCUGUUGGUAUCCACACGGAGCCGCCUAAUCGGAGCAUCGAGAUCAUCGAUGUACUAGCACCUUACAGAUCUCGCUCCUCAUCCUUGGAUUUUGAUCUCUUCUUCCAAAUCUUGAAGAAGAAGAUCGCUGCGCGAACUCUUUCACGCAGAUCCGAUGGGAUCUGAACCAGAUCACCAUGAAGAGAAGAAGAACCCUUCUUCUGUUCUUCUCUCUCUUUUUCUCUCCUUAGAUCUGAUCUCUAUCAGAUCUUGGCAUGGAGGAUGGAGGAAAGAUGGCGUUGGGGUGUAAGAAAGAAAAGAUGGUUGGCGAUGAAACAAAAACCUUGUCUUAAAGAAACGUCUCCAUCUCACAUGCUAAAAAUUGUUCACGCCCCAUAUUUUUUGUCGCACCAAAUAUGAUCCCUUCUUUCUCAAUCAGAUAGGAUUUCAAAUCAUCAAAUGGAUGGAUGAGAUGUGGAGGUGUCAAGAAAAAUAAUGCAAGAAAGAAAUCGCCCAACCAUAACCUCACGCACGCACAUUUUGUUUAGAAAGUUUUGUCACACAAAACAAUUUUAUUCCUCAUUUAUUCCAUGCGACAAUUAGAUAUGAUUUGUUGUCAUUCAAAUCUAGGUUAAAUGGAAGUUUUAUAUCAAGAAAGAGUCCCAAAGUAAGGGGAGAUGCCAACUAUUAGCGCCUCACAAUGUUUCACGCAUGCUAAGAGAAGAGCACGAGAAAACCAUCGCAUCCUCUGAUUUUUGGCGUGAUAUCUAGAGAGAGAGUCCCAGGGGACCAAGACUCUUCAAAUCAGAGUUCUUCUGGUUCAAGUUAGGCCUUAAUCGGAUUCAAAUCGAAUCUGAAACAAGCUAAAUUUGAAAAAGCCGUCAAGCCUGAUCUAAUGAGGCUUGAAAUCCAAAUCUGAUUUGGAUAAUUUAACCCAAUUAAUAUUAAAUUAAAUUAAGUCUAAUUAAAUUAAAUUUGAUUUAAAUUAAUUAAGACUUAAUUCAUAAUUUAAUCAGCCCAAUAAAAUUACAACAUUUGUAAUUAAGUCUCCAUGCUAAUAAUUAGCAGCUGCCAAAAUUGUAAUGAUUACAAAUUAGCAGUUUCUAAAAUUCAAACUAUUAAUCCGAUUGAUAAUUCGAAUAUGAUCCAAGCUAUUGAUCAGGUCAUGCUCUUUUUAUGUGUGACUUCUCAGAUUCUAUUCUGUCUGGUAGUGAGACAUAUCAUGAUCUCUAUCACAGUAUCAUCGAAACUCUUUUCGAUGGUUUGAAAUGAUUCCAACUCACCUCAACAAAGAUCGUUGAUCCAAAAAUGAUCUUAGUGAGUUCUCAUGAUCCACUAGUAAUGUCUAGCAACAUGUAGUGACAAUCCAGUAGAAUAGAAAAUGAAUCUCUAGGUGUAGUUAUCGUGUGAUACAAUCUCUAUCGAGAGUCUAGACUUGACGGAGAUCAUAGAGAACUCGUCAAUACCAUCGUCAGUCAUNN
rnacentral:lncRNA from 1 species